UGGCAAACCAGUUGAUGACAGUAGUACGGAAUCUCAUCGUGGCUAUAGUAUACCAGAUGAUGACGCAAUCGGCAAACCAGUUGAUGACAGAAGUACGGAAUCUCAUGGUGGCUAUAGUAUACCGGAUGAUGACGCAAGUAAGAAAUCCCUUGGUUUUUCAAACUAUACAUUUAUUGUUGGAGGAAUAGUAGGAGUGUUACUCGUCAUAUGUAUUAUUGUUGGAGUUUGUCUAAUUAGGUAUAACAGAACGUUCUUUUUUGUGU